GGGAUUGAAGUUCAAUUGGUCAGAGCACCGCCCUGUCAAGGCGGAAGCUGCGGGUUUGAGCCCCAUCAGUCCCA
rfam:Gossypium hirsutum cultivar TM-1 chromosome 21, whole genome shotgun sequence